UUGGGCACCGGUGUAGCGGUGAUCGCGGUCGCUGGUGCUCAGGGUCGCUCUAAAUAUAGCGGUAGCCCUGCUGUUCGACGCUCGCAUAAUUCGACCCAUAGGUAAUUGUAAAUAUUUUAUAUGGUUGUAAUCAGCAAUUAGUGUGAAGUCUGGUGUUGAAAAAAACCCAAAAGACAAUAAAACAAUUGGUAUUAUUGAAUUAUUUUGUUUUAAAAACCAGAAAAUGCUUUGGUUUUUAAUUCUACAUCUGAAAUUGUGAUCGGCAUAUGAACUUCAUUUAUGCACAUAUUUUAAUAAGAAGACGUGCAUUUUAACUAAUAUAUUAAAUUAUAUAACUAGUGCAGCUCCUUUAGCAAAAAUAUCAACAGAAACUUACUAAUAAUUAUUCAUUUUACAUGCAAGAAUCAUCGAGAUCGGCAUCCCACCAAUGUCGUCCUGUACUCGAGCGAUCGAGUCUCGACUGAUUUAUAUCAUUAUGAUUAUGAUAACAAUACCUUGAAAGUAAGAUAGUGGUUUAAAAAGAAAAAAAUUAUGGUUGGCUUCCUUUCACUCCAGAUCAUUGUCAAAACAAGAAGUAAUUGUUUACACCUGCACGUUAAUCCAAGUUUAAGGCGUCUAGCUGUGCCUUGUUCACACCUGUUGUCAUGUGAUUAAAAUAUAAAAGAUGACUUAGGAAUUGUUAUGGAGAUAACACUAUUGUAAAUAUGCUUUGAAUAAACAGCCAUUGUUUUCAA